rnacentral:lncRNA from 1 species
GCAGCCUGUGGGUCAAGAGUAAUUACUUUCCACUUUCAAGUCUUAUUAUUUAAAAAAUACAUUUUGUAAGUCUAUAGCUGCCAUACAUAGCUAUUCCUCUGAUGGAUCUGGGCAAGUAAAUUGAAAACCUGGAAAGGAUUCACCACUCUAGAUGCCACUAAGAACACUUGUAUUUCAUGGGAGGAAGUGAAAAUAUCAACAUUAACAAGAGUUUGGAAAAAGUUUAUUCCAACCCUCAGAGAUGACUGAGGGGUUCAAGACUUCAGUGGAGGAAGUAACUAUAGAUGUGGAAAUACCAACAGAACUAGAAUUAGAAGUGGAGCCUGAAGAGAUGACUAAAUUGCUACAAUAUCAUGAUAAUACUUCAACAGAUAACAAGUUGCUUCUUAUGGAGGAGCAAAUAAAGUGGUUUCUUGAGAUGGUAUCCACUUUUGGUGAAGAUUCUAUGAAUAUGGUUGAAAUGACAAAGAAGAAUUUAGAAUACUCAGUAAACUUAGUUAUAAACCAGUGGCAGGGUUUGAGAGGACUGAUUCCAAUUUAGAAAAAAAGGCCUAUUGUGGGUAAAAUGCUAUCAAACAGCAUUGCAUACUUCAGAGAAAUCUUUUGUGAAAGGAAGAGUCAAUGGGUAUGACAAACUUCACUGUUAUUUUAAGAAAUGGUCACAGCCACCCCAACCUUCAGCAACCACCACCCUAAUCAGUCAGCAGCCAUCAACAUCAGCAAGACCUUCCUCCAGGAUAAAGAUUAUGACUCGCUGAAGGUUCAGGUGAAUGCAGUGUCAUAUCAACACAAGACAGAAUAAAGACAAAGACUACUCUCUGAUCUCACCUAUGAAAUUAGAUUAAACCACAAAGAGUGUCCCACAAGAACAAUAUACAGGAAGGUUUUUCCCAGUGUAGGUUAAAUUGAG